AAUUCAGUGAAUCAUCGAAUCUUUGAACGCACAUUGCGCCCCUUGGNAUCCCGAGGGGCAUGCCUGUUCGAGCGUCAUUUCACCACUCAAGCCUGGCUUGGUGUUGGGCGACGUCCCC
rnacentral:rRNA from 1 species